rnacentral:rRNA from 1 species
GAGUGGCAAACGGGCGAGUAACGCGUAUCUAAUCUGCCCAAGAGAUGGGAAUAACUAUGGAGACAUAGCUAAAUCCCAAUACGCCCUUAGAGUUGAGAUACUCUUUGGGGAAAACUACGGUGCUCAUGGAGGGGGAUGCGUCCUAUCAGGUAGUUGGUAAGGUAAUGGCUUACCAAGCCUAUGACGGGUAGCCGGUCUGAGAGGAUGUCCGGCCGCAAUGGGACUGAGACACGGCCCAUACUCCUACGGGAGGCAGCAGUGGGGAAUAUUGGACAAUGGGCGAAAGCCUGAUCCAGCGACUCCACGUGAAGGAUGAAGCUUCGCGGAGUGUAAACUUCUUUUCUGGGAGAAGACGAAUGACGGUAUCCCAGGAAUAAGGGACGGCUAACUACGUGCCAGCAGCCGCGGUAAUACGUAGGUCCCGAGCGUUAUCCGGAGUUACUGGGCGUAAAGAGUCUGCAGCCGGGUGUAUAAGUCUAUUUUCAAAUACCUCGACUCAAUCAAGGAAAGGGAAUAGAUACUGUAUACCUAGAGGAUUUUAGAGGUUAGUGGAAUUUCCGGUGGAGCGGUGAAAUGCGUUGAUAUCGGAAGGAAUGCCGAAAGCGAAAGCAGCUAACUAUAAAAUUUCUGACGGUCAGAGACGAAAGCUUGGGUAGCAAAC